UACGUAGGGUGCGAGCGUUAAUCGGAAUUACUGGGCGUAAAAGUGUGCGCAGGCGGCCUGAGCAAGUCGAGUGUGAAAGCCCCCGAGCUUAACUUGGGAACUGCGCUCGAAACUACUUGGCUAGAGUGUGGCAGAGGGAGGUGGAAUUCCACGUGUAGCGGUGAAAUGCGUAGAGAUGUGGAGGAACACCGAUGGCGAAGGCAGCCUCCUGGGCCAAGCACUGACGCUCAUGCACGAAAGCGUGGGAGCAAACAGG
rnacentral:rRNA from 1 species